UAGGGAAUCUUCGGCAAUGGACGAAAGUCUGACCGAGCAACGCCGCGUGAGUGAAGAAGGUUUUCGGAUCGUAAAACUCUGUUGUUAGAGAAGAACAAGGACGUUAGUAACUGAACGUCCCCUGACGGUAUCUAACCAGAAAGCCACGGCUACCUACGUGCCAGCAGCCGCGGUAAUCCGUAGGUGGCGAGCGUUGUCCGGAUUUAUUGGGCGUAAAGCGAGCGCAGGCGGUUGCUUAAGUCUGAUGUGAAAGCCUCCGGCUCAACCGGGGAGGGUCAUUGGAAACUGGGAGACUUGAGUGCAGAAGAGGAGAGUGGAAUUCCAUGUGGAGCGGUGAAAUGCGUAGAUAUAUGGAGGAACACCAGUGGCGAAGGGGGCUCUCUGGUCUGUAACUGACGCUGAGGCUCGAAAGCGUGGGGAGCAAACAGG
rnacentral:rRNA from 1 species